CGGGGCGUAGCGCAGCCUGGUUAGCGCACUAGACUGGGGGUCUAGGGGUCGAAGGUUCGAAUCCUUUCGCCCCGA
rnacentral:tRNA from 1 species